rnacentral:rRNA from 1 species
AACGAACGCUGGCGGCAGGCUUAACACAUGCAAGUCGAACGCACCUUUCGGGGUGAGUGGCAGACGGGUGAGUAACGCGUGGGAAUCUACCCUUCUCUACGGGAUAGCUCCGGGAAACUGGAAUUAAUACCGUAUACGUCCUGAGGGAGAAAGAUUUAUCGGGGAAGGAUGAGCCCGCGUUGGAUUAGCUAGUUGGGGGGGUAAAGGCCUACCAAGGCGACGUUCCAUAGCUGGUCUAAGAGGAUGAUCAGCCACAUUGGGACUGAGACACGGCCCAGACUCCUACGGGAGGCAGCAGUGGGGAAUAUUGGGCAAUGGGCGAAAGCCUGACCCAGCCAUGCCGCGGGAGUGACGAAGGCCUUAGGGUUGUAAAGCUCUGUUGGCGGGGACGAUAAUGACGGUACCCGCAGAAUAAGCCCCGGCUAACUUCGUGCCAGCAGCCGCCGUAAUAC